CCUGUGACGAAGUGUGUUUUUCAUCAUCUAAAGCCCGUACUCGCCAGGAGUCAGUAUGACUAUAGAGCGCUACAGGUCAACAUUCAGAGAUGGAUUAUUACCCAAUGACCCUUCUACAGUGAAGAAGUAUGAAAAAGUACUGGAGGAGAUGAAGAAAAAACAGGACAAGGAGAGACUCUCUGCAACCCAGGAGGAUGUCGGAGGUGGAAUGAAAACAUUGUUGAAGCACGUGAAAUCUCCUGCUGGUCUGUUUACGGCAUCGUGUCUCCUGCUGCUUCCAAUCAUCUUUAUCCUGCGUCGCUAUUCUGGGGCAAAGUUCUCUUUUAAACCAAGACAAUGAAUCUAAAAAGCAAUAAGGUACUUAGAUAUUAAAAAGAAGGCUUGAUGUCAUUUUACCAUACUAGGAAAAAUAUUGUAUUUUUACUCUAAUAUAUACUCACUUAUGUAUUCACAUAUUUUUCUAAAAUCUGCCUGUGACUGGUUUUUUUUUGUACUGCACAGUUACCUUCUUGUUGCAUUUGGGGUGACUUAUUACUGAACUCCAACUGUAACUUUUGGUCUGGUUCUAUAUGUAUUUAUUUAAUUUUAAUUGGUCUAAUGCUUGUAAAAAUGUGCCUGGUUUAGGAAACUAUCUGAAGCCAAGUAUGAAAGGAGCUGGAGGGACUUACAAAAGAGGUUAUUGACUGUUACAGUGGCUCUUUUUAGGGUUCUUGAGCUCCGUCAAUAAGGCAUUUAUCCUCUCUCUGUUUGAGAGUCUUUAAGCAUAACUCUUCAUCCCAGUCUGUCCCUUCGUAAAUAUCUUGUAGGUAAAGUGUGAUUUCCUACGAUCAAAAGAAUAAAUACAGAAACAAAGCUAUCACUAUACCACAUGCAAUGUCCUAUUGGAUUCAAUAUAUUACAGGGAUACAGGGAAAUUGUAGCUUAAUUACCUCUAUAAUAUCUGAUGUGGGAUAAGGUGAGAGAAAGGCAUCAACACAUGAUGUUCUUUCUGUGAUGAGUGCUCAGAGACAACAAUUCACGUUUUGGAGGAAAUUGGGUUUAAUGUGGGUAAAAUGUGGGUAAAAUAAAAUAAAAAUAAAAAACAACUUCUGAGUGUUUCCUUACUUUUAUUCAUGCAAUAAUUAUCACGUGUUUUUAUUGGCUAUGUAGUGACUGUAGACAGCAGCAUUAGUUUAUUCAUAUGUUAUGACACAGUCAAUAGUUAUUGUGGGUAGGCUUUGUGAGGACACGUGAUAUGAAGAAUUAGUGUAUGAAAUUAGUAAUACAGAACUUAUUGUAAACUGUCAGCUGAUCUGUGCUAUGAGUCAGUUUUUGCUUUCAUUUGAAGUUGGCCAAAUUUCGUAUGCCCCAAAAUUCCUUUUAUGCCAAUAUUUGUCUUUUUUUUCUUUUUUAUAAAACGAAAAUGAAACAAUCUGAGAAAAGAUAGGGUUGGAUUCCCACUAUCUUCUUAUAGUUAUACGUUUUGUUGUAAGUUUGCUGUAUGUGUAACAUCACCAUGGAGACAAACACAAGAGGAAAUGUCUAAUAUAAAAUGAUUCAGGUGCUGCAGUUUCAUAUAUAAAUCACUGUUCAAAGAUAAUAUGACAAGUGAAUUUUAAAUUCAGAAAUGGCUUUAAUGCCCAUAAAUCAAUUGUAUUGCGUUUAAUUCAAAUACACAUAUUUAUAAACUGACAUAUUCACACAAAUAGUAUGAAUGUAAAAUUGCCAGGUUGGACAUCAGAGUAAUAAUAAUUAGAUUAAUAAGAGUCCACCUGCUAUACAUACAGUGCUGCAGACACUUUAUAGAUACAGUAUGUGCAGUGGUAGAUAAAGUACUCAGCUUCUUUACUAGAAUUACAAAUAUGUUAAAAUAUUAGAUCUCAAGUAAAGUCCUGAUGAAAAUACAAAAUAAAGUAAAUGUUAUUUUCAUCAGGAAAAUGUACUUGUACUUCUUGAAGUUAAAUGGGCCUGUGAUUGUUUAUUAUUAUUGAUUCAUCAAUAUGUAAGCAGCUUGUUACUUAACUUAUUUUUGUAAUAAAUGUUUUACUGAGAUUGUUGAUACUGGAGAAAAUGAAUAUCUCAUCAUGCAUUAACCAAAAUUCAACAGAAAACAAGAAAUCAAAGGUAUUUUCCAC
rnacentral:lncRNA from 15 species